UCGAGCGGAUGAAAGGAGCUUGCUCCUGGAUCCAGCGGCGGACGGGUGAGUAAUGCCUAGGAAUCUGCCUGGUAGUGGGGGACAACGUUUCGAAAGGAACGCUAAUACCGCAUACGUCCUACGGGAGAAAGCAGGGGACCUUCGGGCCUUGCGCUAUCAGAUGAGCCUAGGUCGGAUUAGCUAGUUGGUGAGGUAAUGGCUCACCAAGGCGACGAUCCCUAGCUGGUCUGAGAGGAUGAUCAGUCACACUGGAACUGAGACACGGUCCAGACUCCUACGGGAGGCAGCAGUGGGGAAUAUUGGACAAUGGGCGAAAGCCUGAUCCAGCCAUGCCGCGUGUGUGAAGAAGGUCUUCGGAUUGUAAAGCACUUUAAGUUGGGAGGAAGGGUUGUAGAUUAAUACUCUGCAAUUUUGACGUUACCGACAGAAUAAGCACCGGCUAACUCUGUGCCAGCAGCCGCGGUAAUACAGAGGGUGCAAGCGUUAAUCGGAAUUACUGGGCGUAAAGCGCGCGUAGGUGGUUUGUUAAGUUGGAUGUGAAAUCCCCGGGCUCAACCUGGGAACUGCAUCCAAAACUGGCAAGCUAGAGUAUGGUAGAGGGUGGUGGAAUUUCCUGUGUAGCGGUGAAAUGCGUAGAUAUAGGAAGGAACACCAGUGGCGAAGGCGACCACCUGGACUGAUACUGACACUGAGGUGCGAAAGCGUGGGGAGCAAACAGGAUUAGAUACCCUGGUAGUCCACGCCGUAAACGAUGUCAACUAGCCGUUGGGAGCCUUGAGCUCUUAGUGGCGCAGCU
rnacentral:rRNA from 1 species